rnacentral:rRNA from 1 species
AGGACGAACGCUGGCGGCGUGCUUAACACAUGCAAGUCGAGCGGAAAGGCCCUUCGGGGUACUCGAGCGGCGAACGGGUGAGUAACACGUGAGUAACCUGCCCCUAGCUCUGGGAUAGCUCCGGGAAACCGGGAUUAAUACCAGAUACGACCACUUUAGACAUCUGUCGUGGUGGAAAGGAUUCCGGCUAGGGAUGGGCUCGCGGCCUAUCAGCUUGUUGGUGGGGUAACGGCCUACCAAGGCGACGACGGGUAGCCGGCCUGAGAGGGCGACCGGCCACACUGGGACUGAGACACGGCCCAGACUCCUACGGGAGGCAGCAGUGGGGAAUAUUGCGCAAUGGGCGAAAGCCUGACGCAGCGACGCCGCGUGGGGGAUGAAGGCCUUCGGGUUGUAAACCCUUCAGCAGGGACGAAGCGAAAGUGACGGUACCUGCAGAAGAAGCGCCGGCUAACUACGCGCCAGCAGCCGC